GGGAAUAGAGAGAGAGAGAAUUUAGUGAUAUUUUUGAUAUUGCACAGAUUAAGUGAGAUUUAGGUGAGAAUUGAUUUUGAAAUCAGACCAAAGUAGGUUUGAUUUGUAAAUGGGGGUAAAAUGAGAAUUGGAAUUCUCACCGGAAUUCAACUUCAUGUUUUUUUUCUAUUCCAAAGCAAGGAAUAGAAUUCAAUUCAUCUAUGAUUUCAAAUCAGAUGCAUUCCAAACAGGCUGU